CCACUUGUAUUUCCUUUGGUCUCCACAUGUGGGCAGCAGAGGGCUGCAGUGAGCUGGUUGCUAAAAGUUUACUUUGCAGUCUGAUCAUACUACGAAACAUUUAAAUGAGCCUCACUGGGAAGAUAUGAAAGGUCAGCAGAGAAAGUUGAUGUGAAGGUGAAUACGAUUCAGAUAAAGAGAAGAGAGUUGGAGUCAUCCCGAAGAACAAUGAAGAGAAACUGGCGGCAGAGGACUUGCAGAGAAGGGGCUAAUCUUCUAAGGAGUAUCCAUAACUUCCUCUCACACAAAGUCCAUCCACCAUUGUCUGGCAUUAGGAAACAAACAGCAUCAUCAAGAUCGAGAAGCACAGCAGGUUGUGGAGACGUUUAAAGGAGAGUUAAGUUACACGAUGAUUAAAAGUAGAGCAUGUAUAGCACAAUUGCAACCCUAUCAAGGACAGUAUUUGUCAGAGAAGCUGCCAAUAGCUGACAGCGGCAGAGAGAUCCAGAAGGAGAUUUUCCAGGAGGACAACUUUUUGUCCACUCCACAAACCUGGCCUUAAUGGGAAAGUAGCAAGUCCUGUUUGAAGUUUGCUACAGGCCAUUUGGGGAACAUUAUAAACGUGUGGAAGAAGAUGCUUUGGUGAGCCGAAACCAGAAUUCAACUAUCAGUGCACAGUGGGAAAAUGACACUGUGGUGGUAAAAGGAUGUGCUUUUCUUCUGCAGGGACAGAAAAGCUGGUCAGAGUGGGCAGGAAGGCUCAAGGUGAUGAAUACAGGACUGUUAGAAGAUGCAAAAGAAAGCAUAUCUUCCACGGUUUAGGUUAGAAUGGUCUAGUCAAAGUCUAGACCUAAAUCUAUUGGAGGACCUUUGGAAAGACUUGAGAAUUGAUGUCCACUGACUCUCUCUCUUUUUCUUCACAACAAAAACAAAAUCCUACCAACUAGAUUACAAACUACACCAAGUGUUUUGGGUGUAGUUUGUAAUGCAAAUGUCUUGGUACACUUGAAUUAAGACAAAACUAACUUACAAGCAACUUUUUUACCAACACAUAGGAGCUCGUAUUAAGUAAGUAAUUCCUUAAUAUUUACAAAAAUGUGUCUGAUUAUUUCACUCUUAGCGAGACACUUUUCCCAUUUCUAACAAGCUCCUAUAUCUUUCUGGAAAGUUCCUUAUAAGUUAGUUUUGUCUUAUUUAGACUCCAAAGUCCAAUCUGUGCUGGAUGUUAUAAACUCUGCUGUGUUUGGUUGUUUAAAGGAGGAUACACACCUUUGUUCUCUGUCAGCUUGCUUUUCUUUUUGCUCAUCACCCAGUUGAGUGCUUUGAGCAGUCAUGUGUUGGUCUUCAAGCGCUUGCGUCCCACCCUUGGUCAGGCUGUCUUUUUAAUGAAUUGGCUGGUGUUGAUCCUGAACUGACAGUUAAUCAGACGUGGCAUCUAUUAAACAGCGCUGGGCUCGGGUUACUGUCCAGCGCUGCCGGACGUUUUGUGCGCCGCUGACCCCCCUGACACAAACACACUCUCCCACCGAAGCCCAGUUAAAUGCCAUCCCACCCCACGCUGUGAGGCCGAACUCAAUUAUGGAUGACCAUCAUUAGAAACCAGAC